rnacentral:lncRNA from 1 species
AGAGAGAGAGACCACUACUCCAUUGGAGGCCAAGACCUCCAUCUAGGAGAAUAUCCCGCGGGAUAUCAUCAAGACCCCCUUGUGGGAAGAUCCAUCUAGGAUAUCAUCAAGACCUCCUCUUGGAGAUGAACCUUACCUUGUAUCUUUCCCUUUGUUGUUCAUAUACCUUGUGAUCUUGUGUGUUUGAUUGUCUAGUGGAUGUGUGAUUUGGACUUUUUCUUGAGUGUUUCCCCUUGUGAUUUCUUCCCGUUCUUCCCCGUGUUCAUCGUGUUCUUCGAGGGAUCCCACUCCAAACGUGAAAGAUCGUCGCUAUAGGGUUCCACCCUACAUCAUAUGGUAUCAUGAGCCACGUUGAUCACGUUUUUGGAGUCCCUCCCACCGUUUUCUAGCCUUCUUUUGCUUGAUUUCGUCCUAAAUCCGAAAAUCCCCACCAAAAAUAGCCCCCAAAAUUUUUUGUGAUUUGUUGGUUUGAUGAUGUUUUGUUGAUUUUGAUCCGUGGAUUUGCUUGGUUUCAAGUGGAUCUAGCAUCUCCCCAAGUUUCCCCAUCUUCCAUCCACGAAAUCCAUCAAAUUUUGCCCCAAAAAUCAUGCAUUUCCGCCCAAAAAAUUCAUCCCCACGAGCAAAUCCCGAGCGGAUUGACUUGCCCGGAUCAUCCGGACAUUCUCCCGGAUCAUCCGGACCUCGCCCGGAUCAGCUGGACGCCCCCCCGGACGUCCGGAUAAAUCGCGCACCCAGAAAACAGAACCAGCGCUGACGAACCCGGAUCAUCCGGAUUUCCUCCCGGAUCAUCCGGACCUAGCCCGGAUCAUCCGGACCUCCUCCCGGAUCAUCCGGACCUAGCCCGGAUCAUCCGGACCUCCUCCCGGAUCAUUCGGUUAACCCUGAAACUGACACGGCUGAAAUCUUAUUUCGGUCAUAACUAAUUCAUCCGGAGUCCGAUUUUGACGUUCUUUAGCUCGUUUUGAAGCUCUUGACAUCCCCCAUCCCACAAAAAUACCACCAACAUCAUUUGACUCUAUCAUAUUUUCUGAAAUUUGGCAAGUUUGCCUAGGGCUUCCACCAUAUCAUCCGCAUUACCACCACCGACUUCCGCAACCUAACCCAUUUUGUUCCCCAUAGCGUUUGAGGUUGUUUGAGUAGUGACUUGAGUCUCCUAAGGUGUUUCGGCUACUUAGGGACGGUUGCUUCUUCAUCAACCACCACCACCACCACUUCCACAUAACCUUCCCACCAUACACUUCCGACAACCCAACUUAACCCAAUUGUUGUUUGAGCUUGUUCGAGUUGUGGCCUGUGUCUCCUAAGGUGUUUCGGCUACUUAGGGACGGCAACUUCAACUCCGACUUGUGUAUAACCCAUCAUUCCACUUCCGCAUUGCCUAGUGCAACACCACCACCGCUUUCCGCUACCACCAUUUGACAUUUGUCAUUUGAGAUUUUGAGUUUGCGGUUUUUCCGUUUCCUAAGGUGUUUCGGCUACUUAGGGACGAGUCUCCAUCAUCUUGGUAUCUACACCAAGAACACCGCCACUCAUCAUCACAAAGGACGGUAACCUCGACGACACCAUUGUAUAUUCCCUUGCAAUUGCAUUAUUAACCCCUAGCCCAUUUUGCGUUACUUGCCUAUCGAGACUAGCCAUUUGAGUAUUGCCGGCAACGUGACUUGUGCACAUUAGUGGUCUACACCAUCCAUUGCAUACAUACCAUACCAUCUUGGUAUCAUAUCAUCCAUUGUGCCUCAAGUUUGGUCCCGCAUAUACACAAUUGCUAUCUUGGUUUGUGCAUUGUGCAAAAGUGGCCAUAGAAAAAAAAAGAGAAAAAGCUUUUAAGCAAAAAGAGAGCAAAGAGCUCGUGAGCAAGUGCCAUAGCAUCAUACCCCCAUUGCAAAUAAGAGCCAUACCAAAAUCUACAUCAUAUGAUAUCAUGCUUGAGAGAAACACCGGGAACCAUACAUACAUAGCAUACUUGGGAUAGAAGUUUAUCCAUUUCGCAUCUAUAGGUUGUGCACAAGUGUCGUAUCCGCCUAUUGAGCAAUCGUGCUAGCGUCUCUCUUGAGUUGUGCAAUACGAGCAUUUUCCGUGGACUCCACAUUUUGUGCUCAUUCCUUGGUUGCACGACCCCAUUUAUCUAUCCGUGUGUGUGUUUACGUGUACCAUUUGCUAUUGGUCUACUUGUUUCACUUGCGAAUUUGUGAAUCUGUUUCAACAUUAUUGACUCUUGCUAACAUUUUGCAUUAAAUUUUUGUGCCACUAUCCUCACCGAGCUCCACCAUAAGCUUUACUUGAUAGGUGUGAGUGAACAAGUCCGGUACCAAUUCCACUAUUCUUUCAUCUCACAUUGAGUGACACGGGAUACAUCCUCAACGUUGGGAAAAGGUAACUUGGUAUUGUUUAUCUCAUUUCCUACUCACCUCUACUCGAGUCUUGUGAUGGAUAGGCAAGGCAUUUCACUUUCGGUCUACAACAACAAUGACGAGUUCGAUGCCAUGAACAACAACUACGACGCCAAGAUGGACAAGCGCAUGGAGGAGAUCAAGGCCCUCAUCUAGUCCUACAAGCGAUCUUCCUCAUCUUCGAGAAGACGCUCAAGAGCACAUCCUUCCGAGCUACCACCUCCGGCAAGAUCACAUCGGCAUCGACACCAUCACCAACAAGAACGUGAAGGUCCAGAGCUCAACACCAACAACCGCUCAACGACUUCACCAUCUCCCUUGGCAUCUUCGCCAAGCGACUUCAAGGCAUCUUCGCCUAUGGACAUAUUGCAUCUUCGCCAACAAGAACCUCAAGACUACACUCAAGAGAAGCUACCCAAGCUCAAGUCCGCGACUUCCACGAGCUACUACGACCUCGACACCGACCACAAGAUUCCUUUCUAUGGGACUCAAGAACCCGAGGAGUACCUCGAGUGGGAGCGUUUGAUGGACGACUACCUCAAGCUACAUCAAGUUCCUCCCGAAGAUCAAGUGAAGUGCGCCACAAGAAACUUCCACGACUACGCAUUGGCAUGGUGGCUUCACACACCUUCGGAGUACUACGACAUGAGUUGGCACAAGACGAAGAAAGCUUUGCGGCGAGAGUUUGUGCCUCCAACCUACACGGAACAACUUCGACGCCAAUUGGAGAACACCACCCAAGGAUCCAAGUCCAUCGACAAGUACUUCAAAGAGAUGAUGAUUGCCUUGCGACGAGCCGGCGUGGACGACCCCAUUUCGAUGAAGUUCCACUUCAUGAUGGGAUUGCACAAUGACAUCUCCAAGACCAUCUUCCUCGAGAACUACAUGUCCAUCGACGACUACUACAUUGGUGCUCUCAAGGCGGAACAAGAACUCAUGAAGGCCAAGGCUUCUCCACCCCAAGCAAACUUCGCGGCGACCAAGCUCUACGACAAGCAUGAGGCUAGUACCACCAUGAUGUCCAAGGCCGACAAGCUCCAAGAUGAUGCUCCCAAGUGUGACUUCACCGCCAUCCCUCUUUGUGGCAUUGAUGAUGCCGAGUCUACUUCGACUCUUUUUCAAGACGGCGCGGCGACGAGUUUGACUACGGAGACCUUCAAGGACCAAGCUUUGGAGGCGAGUGACAAGGUGAAGAGCAAGGAUGAUGCUUCCAUCUUAGGAGGCAAGAGUGAUGAUGUGCCAUCUUCGGCCUUCAUCCACGACGAGAGUGAUGUUGAGCCAUCUUCGGCCUUCAUCCACGACGAGAGUGAUGAUGGGCCAUCUUCGGCCUUCAUCCACGGCGACCACGACGAGAUGGUUGAGCAUGGGACUUUCCCUUCGACCACGGCGAUGUACGAUGACUUGAGUGACUUGUGCCACCAUAUUGAGAGUGAGAGUGACUUCACCACUAGCCCCAUAUAUGAUGAGUUGCCACAAUUCCCAUGUGAGGAGAGCCACAACCCCCACCACUUGAGUGAGAUGAGUGACUCCACCAUACGUGAGUUUGAGUGCACCUAUUUUGAGGGAGUGAGUGAACCACCACAUAGAGAGAGUAAGAUAGUUGAUAGGUCUCGUGAGGCCAUUUGCAUUUCUAACAACUUGACCUCUACCUCUAUUGUGUCUUCUCGUUUGGUGCUAGGUCCCAUUUAUGAUGACGCGCCGAUCCUCGACGACUUCGUCCUCCCUUUGGACAAGACAAUGGCCAUGGUGGAUUAUGAUGCACCGCCCACAUGGUUCCAUCAAGAUGAUGAUGAUGACCACCAUUUGGUCUUUCCCACCUCACCUACACCACUUGAGUGGAAUGACAAAGGUAACAUAGGUGAAGGUGAUGCUCUAGUCCCACUAGUGGACAUUCUUGACAUUGAUUGCUUGCAUGAUGUUGAUCCACCUAUUGCCAUGCUUCAUGCUAGUAUGAUUUCCCCAUGCGAUGAUUUGCCCAUUUAUGAUGAGUAUGAUGAUUCUAUUGUGGAUUCUAUUAGUUGUGAUGCCAUGUUACAUAGGAUUUCUUGUGACAAUUCUUUAGGUCACAUCAUGUUUGAUAAUCCGCUUGACUUGUCAUAUGCUAUGCAUGAGAUCAACCAUAUGUCUUAUUUGGAAUCUCUUCAUAGUGACUAUGCAUAUGCCAUUAAAAUAAACCCAAUUUGCACAUAUGGGAUAGAUGACAAGCCCAUGGUUAUUGGCAUUUGUUUUUCUUGUGAUGAUAUUGAUAUGCUCCCUUUGCAUCAUUUAUCUCAUAUGCCAUGCCAUGACCACCUUGCUUCGGAUAUGCAUUGUUUUGGAUGUUGUCCAUUUUCUCCAUGUGAUGUUUCCGAUAUUGCUCAUGAGGAGGCCCCCAUAGUUUCCUCAUACAUUUUAGGAGAUUUUGAUCCAUCCCAUCCAUUGCAUGAUCCCAAUACGUGUGUGCACCAUAUGCUCCCCAUGAAUAAACAUGCUUUUGAUGUGCCUUAUACUUGUUUGCUCAAUUUGUGUCCCCAUCGUGUCAUACAUAAUAACUAUUCUUUCAUGAUGGAUGACAUGUUCUUAUACCAUGCAUCAAAUUUCUUUGAGCGAUGCUUAUCUUGUGCUAACUCACACGUGCACAUACACAUCAUGAUGGAUGAUGUGUACAUUUACCACACACACAAUUUCUUUCGUUUGUGUCUCUUUUGUGUAGGUACCCAUGCAUACUUGUCAACUUCGCAAUCCCACGAGUUGACAAAACGAGCUCUUGAGAGCAAUGACGAUUUGGGAUACCGUGGACUAUCCUUACCACCGUUCCCUUCGCGCAAGGACUACGCGCAACUCCUCUACUUGGCUCUCACACGGCUAUGGGCCAUUUACCACUUCUCACAUUAUGCUCAUUUUACUGUGUUCACUUUGCAUGCUAUGCUUGCUUCUAUGCCUUUGCCAUGCAAUUGUGACCCUUGUUUGCAUCUACCCAUGAUUCUCCAUUAUGAUAUUCCUAUGUGUAUUUGCAUGCUUGGUGGAGAUCCUUGUUGCUUUUGCCAUGUUUAUCAUGUGCCCCAUUCUAUUGAUGCUUGUUGUGUUGGGAGAGUCAUGAUGACCCAUUGCUAUUCACGUAUGGCCUCUCGCCAAUACAUUCAUGAUAUUGUACUCAUAUCUUGCUUUCAUGCUUGUGCUAUGACUUGUGAAUUAUUCAUACCCACUAUUUGCACCAAUGACAUAUUUGCCAUGAUUCCUCCUAGUAUGUUGCAUCUUCGCACUACUAGCUUGCUUGAUUUGAUAGCUAUGAAUGCUCGCUAUAUUGCAUCACCCAUGUUCCACUACUUGCUUUCUUGGGUUAAUGACAUAUAUGCUCAUGCCUCACACAUGUUGAACAAUUGCUCUUUCCAUUGUGUUGAGUGCCACAAUAUCUUCACUACACCCUAUGCACGUUAUGCUUGGAUUGUCUUGCACUUGCCCCGUGUGUUUAGACAUUUCACUAUAUUUGGUGUUGUGAAUGACUCUUAUGCCUACCAUAGACCAUUCAUUGAGCACUUUAUGCAUGCUUGCUAUGACCUUGAGGUAGAUGCUUCUUCACUUAUCACAUAUAUUUGCAUCUUGAUCUCACAUUUGCAUGCUUGUUCCCAUAAUGUACUUGAUUGUGCUCAAUUUAUAUGCUCAAAUGCCAUACCACACUUCUUUGUCAAACCAUAUGCUAUGCUUGAUGACAACACUUGUUGGGUGAAUCACCUCUUGAAUGCUUGGUUUUGCUCUUACGACAACCACAUUUGUUUUUCCAAGAGCUUGUUAUCUUUGCUACUUUUGAAGGAAUUACAAGACGGUGCGACAUUGGAGAGUGCCCAUUUGGAACUACAAGAUGACGAAUGCUUGGUGAUCGUCCACUUCUACACGACGACAUCAUCUCUUUCCCAUGGUGAUUUGGAUUUCGUUCCGAGGUCGGAUCUUUCCCAAGGGGGAGGGGAUGAUGCGGAGCAUCCUACGGACAUCACCAUGUCAAGAGCCCAUUUGGCAAGUGACACGUGCGACAUCUACUUCACACACACUAAGGUGAAUCAUCUCCUUUGCACGUGCUCACUUGACCCCUUCGAGGAUGGCAUACUACUUGACACUUCUCCCGUGUGCAUGCAUAGGUAUUGUCGGAACUUCACGGACGACGAGGAGGAGUUCAAGCGCCAAGGAACGACUACACCAUCCGUGAGGGAAGCGUGGAAGAGAAGACGGAAGAAAGGAGAAGAAGACGGAGCGGCUGCAGGAGCCAGGCCGGACAUCCGGACCACCGUCCGGAUCAUCCGGGCUUGGCCGGAUCAUCCGGGUCCCCCUCCGGAUCAUGCGGACAAUUCGGCCCGAAGACAACAGAAGCUGCCCGACGAAGCCGGAUCAUCCGGACGGUCGCCCGGAUCAUCCGGACCCCCGACACCCGGAUCAUCCGGGCCACCAUCCGGAUCAUCCGGACCCCGCCUGCGUGCGUGACUUGGGCCGAAGCCCGUGUACCCCUUCGCCCCUCACAUACCCCUUCACCCCUUGGGCUAUAAAUAGACCUCCUCCACCUCCUUUCUAGGGUUAGCAAAGUGAUAGCUCAUUCCUAGGUGAGCUUUGCUCCUACCUAUCUCUACUCUUGAGAGAGAGAGACCACUACUCCAUUGGAGGCCAAGACCUCCAUCUAGGAGAAGAUCCCGCGGGAUAUCAUCAAGACCCCCUUGUGGGAAGAUCCAUCUAGGAUAUCAUCAAGACCUCCUCUUGGAGAUGAACCUUACCUUGUAUCUUUCCCUUUGUUGUUCAUGUACCUUGUGAUCUUGUGUGUUUGAUUGUCUAGUGGAUGUGUGAUUUGGACUUGUUCUUGAGUGUUUCCCCUUGUGAUUUCU